UAUAAACACACACACACAUGCAUAUACAUAAACACAUAUGUAUGUAUGCAUCUGUGUGUGUGUACAUACACUGAUAUUUAUAUAUUGUCCUUUUACAAUAUCCAUGAGUUUAGAAACUUCAUGAUGAAUAUGGCAAGAUUUGUAUCUCAGGUCAGUGUGGGAAAUAUCUUCGGUGCUCUUCAUACUUGUUGUAUUAAUUGAUGUUUUCCCCAAAUUUUGAGAAUAAGACAUUAGGCCUCUGUGGGUAUUGACUACCCCACAAGAAGUCAUCUCCUAGCAAGCUGAGCUUAUUAUCUCAGCCAAGAGGUGUUUACUUCUACUGAACAGAUGGUAUCUACUAGUUGUAAUUGUUAAAAUAACAAUUUGAAGUUCUGUAGGCUGAUGAUUAUGGGAAUGGCUAUCUAAGAGUAGGAAUAAGUAAUGUUGUUUUUGAUUCUCAGUUAAAACUACUUUAUUAAAGCUAUUAAAAUGAGAUUCUUCUUAAGGUGACGAACUGGCAGAACUAUUAGCAUCAUGGGUGAAAUGCUUGGCAGCAUUUUGUCUUGUCUUUACAUUCAGCUUUCACUGAGGUUGACUUUGCCUUUCAUCUUUUCAGUGUUGAUAAAUUAAGUACCAGUUUAAUACUGGGGUUGAUGUAAUUGACGCCCCCCCCCUCAAAAUUGGUUACCUUGUGCCAAAAUUUGAAGCCAAUAUGAAUUCCUCUCAGACAUGGUGACUUUUUAUUUUUUCUCCCCCCCCCCAACCCUUUUGUAAGAUUUUGUAUUUUAAUGCUGACGUAACAAUAUUAGUAGAUAGCUAAAGUGUGGUUAGAAUGGAACUAGAUUUCAGUUUAUUUACAACUCUGAUCUUAGUUCGAAUCUAUCACAGAUAUGUUAAUGAUAUCCCUUCAAUUGAUUUUAUCUCUCUCUCUCUCUCUGUCAGUAUUGAUUUUCAAAUUCCCCAACAUUUGUUGUGUCAGGGUUUAUGAAGUUAUCAGUCACACAACAAACAUUUGAGAUUUUCAAUAUUUCGGUUACUUCCUGGCAGGGUUUGUAAGUUGAAAAGGUAGGGAGGGGGCUAGUUGCAAAUGUGUUCCUUUUUUUUUUUUUGUGCUCCUUUCUCCUCUUUCAGUCCUUUCCAGUGCUUUUUAUAAAAGCCUUUCAUAUCUUCAAAAAUCCAACAAAUGUGACAAUCCAUCAUCCUUGAUUGAUUUCCCAGAAUCACACAACCAUGUUAUAAAAUUUUAUAAAAAUUGUAAUUCUUAUUAUUAUGUAUGUGUUGCCUAUGAUGGGCAAAAAGCUCUUAUUUUGAAACCUAUGAUUAUUAUUAUUAUGAUCUGUAGAAUUUCUCUUGUAUUUAUUUUAUGAAAUCUGUAUGUUCCAUUGUAAAAAUUCCUGUUUUGGUUUAAACGAAGAAAAAAAAAAAUCUGAAGAAAGAAAUUGAAAUAUGGAAAAAUAGCUUCAUUUCUAAAAUAAAUCUCUGGCAAUUCUGUUCCAUUUUUACCCCCUUUUCUGCCCCCUAUCCCCUUACUGCCAUCGAGAUUUACAGUUGUAUUAUGUUAUGUGUACCUGGCCAAGCAACUAGAAGGAUUACUACCAGUAAACACUAAAACAGAAGGACAAUGAAAUGAAUACACAUGCAAAAACGGUCAUUAAUGUAAAAGACACAAAGAAAACCCAUUACAUAUAUAUAUGUAUAUAUAUGAAGAACUCUUGGAAUAUGCUUAAUAUUUCUUUUGAGAAGCAACUUUUGACCACUGACUACUGAGUUGAAAGUGGACAAUAAUUAUUUAUUUGGGUGUCUUUGUUGACCUUUCAUUUACCAAUGUCUUUGGCCGCCUUGAAUUAGUUGACAGACAGUCUGUUAAUCCAAGGGAAACUGAAACGACAACAACAACAUCAAUACCAAAAUCUGGUUGUGGAUAAUCUCUGGAGUUUCUUGCUCCCUCUUCUCUUCUCUCUCUCUCUCUCUCUCUUUCUCUCUCUUCCAUCGUGCCAACAUCUACAUUUCUGAGCAAAUGAACGAGACACACAUGAUUAAGAAUGGUCCAUCUUGGAGACAUGUUUAGUCUAGUGACCUGUUUGUUAUUCAUCUUCAACUUGGUCUGUAUAAUGGAAAGUUCUGGAACAGUCAGUUAGAAAUAGAGAGAGAGAGAGGCAGAUGGAGGUCGAGUGAGACCAUGGAGAAUGAGAAAAGGAAAAUUAUAAAAAUACAAAAAAAAAAUGCAAGGUAUAUGAAGAAAUGGAACAAAAUGUGAAGAAAUGUUUCUUUUCUGAUAAAAUUCUUGGAACCAAUUAAGAGAUCACAGCUUACCAAAAUGAGCAAAAGAAAAAAAAAAGAAAACGUGACCUCCCAGAGUGACUGGUUAUGUGAAAUAUUGAAGUAUAAAUGUAUUUCUGUAUACACAAAUACAAAAUAUACACAUGCACACAUUCUAGUAAAUGUACAUGCAUGCAUAUAAAUAUGGUGCUGUGCAUUUGCUGUCUCAUGCAUCUAUCUUCAAACACUAGCAUACAUAGUCCAGAACAAUGUGUGUAUAUAAAUACAUAUGUAUACAUAUAUAUUUUGUGCAUACGCAGAUUUAAUCAAUCACAGCAACAAUAUCCCAACCAUAAUUUAAACUACAACAACCAAAAUGAAGAAAAAGAGGAAAGAAAUGGUGGCAGUAGUAAUGAUGACAAGAAUGAUGAUGGUGAUGCAUCGACUAUCAUUCUGAGAGUCAUUUGUUCCUUUAUUUUUUUUUUAGUUUGUUUUAAGUGGAGUGUAGCAAACAGCUGGGGGAUGGAUAUCUACCAAAUACAUGAAAGGAAAAAAAAAAAGAAAUUUAAAAAUAAUCAGAAAGAAAAUCAUUUGCUGCAGCCAUGUUUAUUUUUUGGAUUACUUACCUAGUGUGUGGUUUCCUCAAUCCAAAUUUGCCUCUGUGGGUUAUCCUACUCACAUCUUGGGAUAAGUACUAAAACAGGUAAGAAUACGGUAUGGGAAUUUUUCAAUUUUUUUUUUUGAAACUAAACAUAUCUGCAUUUCUUAAGAUGACCAAAAAGAAAAAAAAAGAAAAAGAAAAAAAAACCUAAUCCAAUCCAAGAGUGGAUCUUUUGUGCCUUAUUAUUGAGAUAUUAAGAUUGCUACUUAACCUUCGAAGUGUCAAGAAUGCCAUAUUUGGAUAUUUAUUGCACCACCACCACCAACAACAUUAUGAUGAUAUACCACAAUGGAAGAUGAUGAAGAAGAUGAUGAUGAUACUGCCAUUGCUGUUCUUCAUUGUCCUCCUCAUCCUGUUUUUACUUCUGCGACAGUCAAUGCUGCCAAACUUGGAUUACCUACCAUUUGUUGUGACUAAAAACAAGCCAAACAAGGAAACGCAAAUACACCCAAACAACAAACCUACUUACCCCGUCCCCGUAGCCCUCAAAAAAUAACCCUGGCUGUGACGUAAGAUUUGAUCCGCUGUCGUCAUCAUCUUUCUUUGGCUUUAAUAUUGCUGUUAGCUGCCAGGUGUCUCUGUAAGUCUCUACAACUGAAUGUUUGUGCCGUUAAUUUGGCAGACUUUUCUUCGUCUUUCUCCUUUUCUUUAUCUUUUUUUUAAUUUAUUUUAUCACAUUUUUUUUUCUAACAACUUAACAUUUUCAGAAUAAUUUGGAUAUUAAUUUUUUUUUUGUCUUUGCACGUGAAGAGAAAAGUUUAAACAAGCAUAAAAAAAAAGAAAAUGAAAAAUACAAAACAAAAAAAAAAUCAACCGCAUAAAGAAAAAAAAAUAAUAAUUAAACAAACAGCAUACAAAUUAUUUGUAAUGAGAGUUUUAAAAAAUUUUACCAAAACACAAAAAAAACUAAUUUAGAGAAAAAAAGAAAAAAAAGAAAAAAAACAGUCUCUUUGAAAAUAUGGAAAAUAGACAUAAAAAAAAAAUUGUUUUAUUGUGAUGUGAGUGGAACAAAAUAAGAGAGUAUGAAUUCUACUGCUGAUCUCUACAUGUAUUUGUAUGUGUGCAUAUUAUGUCUGUAUGGGUGUGGUAGUGCAUAAAAA
rnacentral:lncRNA from 1 species